rnacentral:lncRNA from 1 species
UUGAGAUCCGUUUGGCUAAGACCCAUGAUCUGUGCAGUUGAGGCUUGCAACUCAUGCGGUCAAGACCUGCGCCUAUGCAGUAGCGUGUGCGGUGUUCGUCCUAGAUGCUCCAGCAUCAAUGGGCAUCCAAAGAUGACCUAAAAGUUCUUUAUGACACCACCUUAUUUUCAGUUUUAUAAGAAUUGCCGGUGACCAGUGGUCAUAGCAAAAUGUUUAUUAGCUAAGCUGUAUUGCACAACCAAAUUCUUGCAGGUGA